AUGACUAAAAAGGAGUCGAUCAUGCUGCAGAGUCGAUAUUCAGCUGAUAGGUUACAUGAUAUUGUCAAGGGUCUCCCACAGAGAAGGAAAGACCUCAUUUGCACACAAAAAUGGGGUAAUCUACUUAAUAUUGGCAAAUUCUCAGCUCCAAAGGGUCUCCUAGAAUGGAUUGUUGACCGGAUUAACCCGAAGCUAGGUGAAUUUCGGAAUCCACGAAACAAUACCAACAUUCUAUUCACUCGACAAAUGGUUGAAAAGGCUCUCGGGCUUCCGACUGGUACUAGGCCGGUGGUUAUCAUAAGCAAGCAUGAAGAAUCACCUCAUCGAGAAUUCUACAAAACGGACUAUGAACAUGGGAGACGGGCGCCCAUUCACCAUGCUGCAACUAUGCUAGAAAAAGGCAAUGAUCUAGAUGAUGAGACCUUCUUUAGGACAUUCUUUCUCGUAGCAUUGGCUACUCAUUUUACACCCGGAACUGGAAAUAUGGUUCCUUUGGAAUAUUUAGGCAGCCUUGAAGUUGCUUCUGAGGUUUGCGAGUAUGCAUGGGGAGAGCAAAUUCUCAAAGAUGUCAUGUCUAAGGCCGAUACAUUCCAAAAGAAGAAGAAAAAAGCACUACUAGAUGGUGUCUUCAAAAAAAUCUGGGUCGGCAGCUGCCUACCCGUGCUCGCGAUUAUAUACAUGGACCAUCUUGACUUUCCUGAAUCAUCUUUGUCGACGCAUCGCAUAAAUUACUCACUUCCCAGAUCAUCCCAUGUAACCGAUGCCGACUUCGAAUUUGUCAUGCUCGCUGAUAAAAGUAGACUGAGCCAAACCCACAUAUUUAUGGCGCACAACCGUUUCGUGCACCUCAGGCAACCCCAUAUGUCGUUGUAG
rnacentral:rRNA from 1 species